UGAACUGAAAGAACAAAUCGCCUACUUCAGGCGGUGGCAAGCGUAUGGAAAUUAUAUUAGAACUUCAGCAAAGUGCACAGCUGCAUAAUAGAGAAGCCGGCACUCAGAUUGACAGGCAAAUAAGCCAGCUUGUGGAAGGGGCCUCUGGGUGGCAGCUCUGGGCUUUUGGGUGUUGGACAACCAUAGGCAAAACUGAAAUGGAACAGGGGCAGAAAAUAGCACACUUUUACUCUACGCAACUGUUGCUUUUUCAUGAUCUUCAGGAAUUUUACUGGGAUAAUUAUCCAAAUAAAUUGCAAGCAUUCUAUCCAAAUGGAGCUCUUUCUGAGAUGAAGAGAAUUCUCAAUGUCAAGAUUUGAACAAGAAGAGAAUGGAAUACACAAUAUGGACAUCCAUAAAAAUUCAUCAGAGAGCAUUUUACUACUGAGCUGCAAAGGCUGGAGUGCAGUGGCACCGUCUCAGGUCACUUCAACCUCCGCCUCCUGGGCUCAAGCGAGUCUCCCGCCUCAGCCUCCUGAGUAC
rnacentral:lncRNA from 1 species